CCAUCCCCCCAAGAGUGCUUGUCCCACUGGCAGAGACCCACUGUGAGGAGCAGGGUGAUGCAGUCUUCGAAUGUACCCUCUCCAGCCCCUGCCCUAGUGCAGCCUGGCAUUUCCGGCACCGGCUACUCCACCCCAGUGAAAAAUAUGAAGUGUUCGUGUCCCCCGACGGGCUGACCCACCGGCUGGUGGUGAGGGGGGCCUGUUUCUCAGACAUGGGCCCCUACUCGCUGGGCACUGGGCUCUACACUUCCAGCGCCUGGCUGGUGGUUGAAGCUGGGAAGGAUAAAGACCUUCAGUCCACAAGUGCUGACCACCAACUGCAGAGGCAAGGAGCCCAGGCCUCAGGAGCAGAAGAGUCUGGGAGCAUCAACAGCCAGGGAGAGAAAUCCAGAGAGCAGGGACCCAGGGGGGGCUCCCUUGAAGGGGCUGGGCCGGCUUCUGGGCUCCAGCACAUAGCCAGCCCAGACAGGGAUGGCCUUGGCAGACAUGGCUACUCCUUGAUGGGGGACAAAGGGGCAGCUGACUCAGCCUGGGGCCCUGGACAGGAGGGCGAGGGCUUUCUAGUAGCAGAGGGAAGCAGAGCCACUCUUCCCAGGGAAAAUCAAUUCCGCAGAGAGGGAGGCUGGGCCAGAAGCCUUGCAGAGAGGCCCCAUCUACAGGGAGAGA
rnacentral:sRNA from 1 species